GGUUGGGUGAGAACGAGGAACGACACGUGUUGCAAAAUUAUAAAGUAGGAACAAUUGCCGCAAGGCUUGAGUUGAGAGGUAAGGGUGAGAAGAAGUCGUAUAAAAGGAGAGAGAAAAGGCGACAGAGAUCAGACGAGUGAACGUCUACGACACGGCAACAACUGCAGCGCACCAGAUGACUUCUUCAUCUCAUUAUCAGUUCGCAAUCAUGGUUAACUAUGACGCCGUGCUGCAGUUGGGUGUUGCAUCGUUGAUGUCGACCACGAGAGAUAAUCGUAUUGCAACAUACUCUGCUCCAUCUUAAAACAUGGUUCACUAUGGGUCGUGCUGCUGUUGGGUGUUGUAUCGUUGAUGGAUGGGGAAUCCACGGGAGUACCGAUGUCUUCUGGGUAUAGUGAUACCAAACCGCAACGCUGCCGCUUUACUACACAACGAAGUCAACAUACGGAACAUCUACUUCCCGAGGCCCCUAAACACUACACCACCAAGGCUGUUGCUACUACACCGAGGAUCUAACUUGUUAAAUCACCGAAACGCCCAAGUACUGCACUACAACCUACGUUGCCCCAACUUACACCACGAAGUCAGCCGAGUACUACACCACGAAGUCAGCCGAGUACUACACCACGAAGUCAGCCGAGUACUACACCACGAAGUCAGCCGAGUACUACACCACGAAGUCAGCCGAGUACUACAUCGCGAAGUCAGCCGAUAAUUCGUACAACGUAGAAUCGUAAUAUUAAACCGAUGCUCCAGUUUACUACAGUACAACCUGCGCCAUCUCCCAGAUAUUACAUCACCAAGACAACCGAUUAUUACAUUAUGCUACUACCACCUACUACACCGAAGCACCGAAGUAUUACUCUGCCAAGAAUUGUUACAUCACUAAGGCAGCCGACUAUUACACCACAAACUACGCUUCCCCAACUUACUACAUGGAGCUUACUUAAUGCCAGAGCCGACUAUUUGAGUUUAUUAUUAUUUGUCGGUUGUCUUCAUUAUCAUUGGUCACUAGGGAGUUAAUUGUUGAUCUUAAAUGAGUAAAUAAAAAUGUUGAUGCGGGUAA